rnacentral:lncRNA from 1 species
GGUGGGGGGGCGGAUUUCUGCUCCUCUAGGCCCCAAGGACCUGUGGCCACUGCUGUCCUCCCGGCCGGUGUCAUCCUUCCCGGGCGCUGCACCUCUGUCCUGCAGGCGCGCGCAACUCCUCCUUGCUGAGUGAGGUCGCGGUGUCCUGGUCGCCCAGCACUGGCCCUGUGACCCCGGCCGGCGGGGUCAGUGUGGGUCCCCUGCUCAUCGACUGGGCGCCUGGCUGCAGGUGACCACCCCGAGCCACGAGGCGUGCGGCCCUUCCAGCUGGCUGUGGCGCACAAGCUGCUGUCACACGUGUGCUCCAUUGCGGACUCCAGCACCCAGAACCUGGACCUGGGCUCCUUUGAGAAGGUGGAUUUCCUCAUCUGCAUCCCACCCUCUGAGGUCGCCUUCCAGCAGACCGUGGGCCGUGUGUGGCACUCAGGGGUACUGCGGGAGCUGGGCCUGGAGCCCGAGCCCAGGAGCAGGCAGAGGGCGGAGCGGCACGUGCUGAAGCUGGACGCCGAGGCGCAUGCCAGGUUCCAGGCGUUUCUCCAGAGCUCCCUCCAGAACCCGCACACGCUCUUCUUGCUCAUCCACGACCAUGCGCACUGGGACCUCGUGAGUAGUGCCGUCCACAAUCUUUACUCUCAAAGCGACCCAUCUGUGGGGCUGGUGGACAGACUGCUUAACUGCAGGGAGGUGAAGGAGGCCCCCAACAUUGUGAUGCUGCACGUGACAUCCUUCCCGUACGCGCUGCAGACCCAGCACACCCUCAUCAGCCCCUACAAUGAGAUCCACUGGCCGGGGCCCUACAGCAACGGUGUGGACCUGUACCCUGAAAAUAAGAAGUACUUCGGGCUGGCCGAGUUCACUGAGUCCACCCUCUCUGGACACAGCCUUCCCUUGCUCAGAUAUGACAGCUCCUUUGAGGCCAUGGUCACCACGCUGGGAAAAAGGUUCCCACGCCUGCACAGCGCCGUCAUCCGCACGCUGGUCCUGGUGCAGCACUACGCGGCCGCGCUGAUGGCGGCGCGCGGCCUCCCGCAGAUGAAGAACCACACGUCGGUGGAGACGCUGGAGAUCACGCAGAACCUCCUGCACGCUCCCCGGCAGUGUCCCCGUGGCCACGGGCUCAUGGUGCUGCUGCGUGUGCCCUGCCCGCCGCUGGCCGCAGUGGCCUACGAGCGGCUGGCGCAUGUGCGGGCGCGGCUGGCCCUGGAGGAGCACUUCGAGAUCAUCCUGGGCGACCCGCGCUCCGGCCUCUCCGUGGGCACGCACUUCGUGAAGCAGCUCAAGAUGUGGCAGAAGAUCGAGGAUGCCGAGUGGAGGCCGCAGACGUACCUGGAGCUGGAGGGCCUGCCCUGCAUCCUCAUCUUCAGCGGGAUGGACCCGCACGGCGAGUCCUUGCCCAGGUCCCUGCGGUACUGUGACCUUCGCCUCAUCAACGCCUCCUGCCUGGUGCGCUCAGCCCUGGAGCAGGAGCUCGGCCUGGCCGCCUAUUUUGUCCACAGUGAGGUGGCCCCGGAGCAGGUGGCCCAGAGCGAGACCCCAGACAGCGAUGGCGAGAAGCCCAGCAUCUCCGAGGACGAGGAGGCAGGGACAGAAGCACAUUUCGGAGCAGCCUGGCCUUCGGAGAGGCGCAGCCCCGUGAAGAGGGAGCGGUCCUGCUCCCACGACUCGGCGUGCUCCUCCCUGUCCUCCCUCGUGUCUGGUGAGGGUCUGCGAGGGACUGGUGGCUGGGCUGUUGUGGGCUGCAGAGGCCGGUGGAGUGCAGGACCCUUGGGAGCUGGGGGCCUGGGUGCGUGCCGGGGGCAGCGGGCU